rnacentral:snoRNA from 10 species
AUGCUUUUGUGGCUCCUAAGUGUGAUCGUUGAGUGUUCAUACUCAUGUGAGCUGUGCCUCUGUCAAUCGUCAUUACGGCAGAUGAAAAGAGGUGUGAGG